GCGAGGAAUGGUGCCCCAAAAGGCCGAACUGCAGUGUCCCCAUCGACAGUUUGCACUCUGUGUGAGCCCACGGUGACAAAACCUCCUGAAGCGAAACACGGGUCUGACCUCAGC
rnacentral:snoRNA from 1 species